UCUCCGUAGGUGAACCUGCGGAGGGAUCAUUACUGAGUGAGGGCUCACGCCCGACCUCCAACCCUUUGUGAACACAUCUUGUUGCUUCGGGGGCGACCCUGCCGCUUCGGCGGUGCGGCGCCCCCGAAGGUCUCCCAACACUGCAUCUUUGCGUCGGAGUCUAAAACAAAUGAAACAAAACUUUCAACAACGGAUCUCUUGGUUCUGGCAUCGAUGAAGAACGCAGC
rnacentral:misc_RNA from 1 species